UACGAAGGGGGCUAGCGUUGUUCGGAAUUACUGGGCGUAAAGCGCACGUAGGCGGCUUUGUAAGUUAGAGGUGAAAGCCCGGGGCUCAACCCCGGAAUUGCCUUUAAGACUGCAUCGCUAGAAUUGUGGAGAGGUGAGUGGAAUUCCGAGUGUAGAGGUGAAAUUCGUAGAUAUUCGGAAGAACACCGGGUGGCGAAGGCGG
rnacentral:rRNA from 1 species